rnacentral:rRNA from 1 species
UAUGGAGGAUGCGAGCGUUAUCCGGAUUUAUUGGGUUUAAAGGGUGCGUAGGCGGCUUUUUAAGUCAGCGGUGAAAUUUUGCAGCUUAACUGUAACAGUGCCGUUGAUACUGGGGAGCUAGGAUUUGGUUGCUGUGGGUGGAAUGUGUGGUGUAGCGGUGAAAUGCUUAGAGAUCACACAGAAUAUCGAUUGCGAAGGCAGCUCACAAAGCCAAGAUUGACGCUGAGGCACGAAAGUGUGGGGAUCAAACAGGA